rnacentral:misc_RNA from 1 species
UUGCCCUCAGAGGGCCUUCGACCAGCAGUCUGAGCAAGGCCUUCCAAAGAAGCACUUGCUGGUGUGUUUUUUGUUCUGGGCUUCUUUUUCUUAGGACGACUAAGUGGAAUAUCAUCUUGACUUGGCACAGGUGGAAGAGCUCGUGGAGGACGCACAGGAUUCUUCCCCAUUCUGCGUUUAGCCGGCCUCGGCGGCCGCCGGCUAAACGCAGAAUGGGGA